rnacentral:lncRNA from 1 species
UUUUGCUCUUUGUUCAUGCUCUAAGAUUUGAGUAUACAUACAUCAUUUACGUUUGCUCAUAAAUGAUGUAUGUAUUUUCCAGUGAUCUUAAACAUCAAGACUCAAGGUUUUCCCCAGUCGUAAAAUGUAGAUUGGUUUCGGCUUCCUUGAGUAAAAAAACAAACAAUGUCUAUUUUGGAGGAGUCUGACGUUGUAGGUCGGCAAUUAUCGGUUGUGAGGGAUCAUAGCAUAAAGAGAAAGGGUAAACUCUUUCGACAAAUAGCAGAGGCAACUUGCAACAUCUACGAUGGUAGAAGAAUCACAAGACUUCUUUUAACUCGUCUCAUGGAUGAACGGAAAGUAUGUAGCUUUGAAGAAUUUGAUGGGGAGAUUCUCAUUCGUGCUAGAGAUGAAAACAAUUUUAAAAAUAAUGAAAUGAUUGUCUUUGAGCAAGAAUGGGCAGAAAAUUGGAAUCCAGAGCUUUCACAUCACGAUGCUAACUCAAGACUAUUACCCCAUAUAUUUGGACAAUGAACGGAUUCCUCUAAAAAAUUAUAUAUCCUCUGUGUAUAUGUAUAUAUAUUUCAUCAUUGUUACUCGAAAUUUGAGAUUGAAUGUAUAUGUGUAUGAUGAUUAAUUUAAUCAUGCCACCAAUUAUUUUGUCCAUUUAUUCAUUCAAGUAAAUUAAUAUGCAUGUCAUUUAAAAUCAUAAUGCAAGUAUACUCAUAUUAUUAAUAAUAUAUACAUAAUAUAAUACGUAUUUCCUAGAAAAAUGACGGAACUUUUUCGCGGAAGGCCACACAACCUUUUAAAAUUUGAAAACAAUUAGUUUAGAAUAUGCUUUUUCAAUAUAUAUUUUUUUACUUUAUUUUUAAUGUACAACUUUGAUAUAUAUCUUAUUCAUUAACUGUGUUUACAAUUUGUAAUUAUAAUUAUGCUUACUCCUCCAUUUGUUUGAAAUCGAAAUACACAAUAUAUGUAAUA